AGAGUUUGAUCAUGGCUCAGAACGAACGCUGGCGGCGUGGAUUAGGCAUGCAAGUCGAACGAGAAGCUGUUGAUUGAUUCUUCGGAUGAUUUCAACAGUGGAUAGUGGCGAAAGGGUGAGUAAUACGUGGGUAAUCUGCCUCCGAGUUGGGGAUACCCCCGAGAAAUUGGGGUUAAUACCGAAUAUGGUGAGCUUUCGCAUGAAAGUGAAUCCAAAGGCGGGCGUAAGCCUGUCGCUCAGAGAUGAGCCCACGUCCUAUCAGCUUGUUGGUAAGGUAACGGCUUACCAAGGCUUACGGGUAGCUGGUCUGAGAGGAUGGUCAGCCACACUGGGACUGAGACACUGCCCAGACUCCUACGGGAGGCUGCAGUCGAGAAUCUUGGACAAUGCGCGAAAGCGUGAUCCAGCGACGCCGCGUGGAGGAUGAAGGCUUUCGGGUCGUAAACUCCUGUUGUAAGGGAGCAAACGUUAGUGGGUUAAUACCCCAUUAACUUGAUAGUACCUUACGAGGAAGCCACGGCUAACUCUGUGCCAGCAGCCGCGGUAAUACAGAGGUGGCAAGCGUUGUUCGGAUUUACUGGGCGUAAAGGGUGCGUAGGCGGUAGUGUGUGUCGGAUGUGAAAUCUUACUGUUCAUCGGUAAAACUGCAUUCGAAACUACACAACUAGAGUAUAGGAGAGGAGAGCGGAAUUCUUGGUGUAGCGGUGAAAUGCGUUGAUAUCAAGAGGAACACCGGUGGCGAAGGCGGCUCUCUGGACUAUUACUGACGCUGAGGCACGAAAGCUAGGGGAGCAAACAGGAUUAGAUACCCUGGUAGUCCUAGC
rnacentral:rRNA from 1 species